AGUGAACGCUGGCGGUAGGCCUGACACAUGCAAGUCGAACGGCAGCACAGUAAGAGCUUGCUCUUACGGGUGGCGAGUGGCGGGCGGGUGAGGAAUACAUCGGAAUCUACUUUUUCGUGGGGGAUAACGUAGGGAAACUUACGCUAAUACCGCAUACGACCUACGGGUGAAAGCAGGGGAUCUUCGGACCUUGCGCGAUUGAAUGAGCCGAUGUCGGAUUAGCUAGUUGGCGGGGUAAAGGCCCACCAAGGCGACGAUCCGUAGCUGGUCUGAGAGGAUGAUCAGCCACACUGGAACUGAGACACGGUCCAGACUCCUACGGGAGGCAGCAGUGGGGAAUAUUGGACAAUGGGCGCAAGCCUGAUCCAGCCAUACCGCGUGGGUGAAGAAGGCCUUCGGGUUGUAAAGCCCUUUUGUUGGGAAAGAAAAGCAGCAGGUUAAUACCCCGCUGUUCUGACGGUACCCAAAGAAUAAGCACCGGCUAACUUCGUG
rnacentral:rRNA from 1 species